CGGGAUGGCCAGGCGACCGCCGGGCCGGUAACGGCCGGGAGGAAAGUCCGGGCUCCGCAGGGCGCGAUGCUGGGUAACUCCCAGCGAGGGUAACCUCGGGCAAGCGCAACAGAAAGCAGACCGCCCACCCCCCGGGGUGGGUAAGGGUGAAACGGUGAGGUAAGAGCUCACCGGCCGGCUGGGCGACCAGCCGGGCCAGGCAAGCCCCAUCGGGAGCAAGACCAAAUAGGGGGACUCAGGCUGCCCGUUCAGUCCCCGGGUUGGUCGCUUGAGCGCCGGAGAGAUCCGGCGCCUAGAGGAAUGGUCGCCACUUUGGCCCCCCCAGGGGUGCCAAAGGACAGAACCCGGCUUAUCGGCCUCCCGGCCG
rnacentral:RNase_P_RNA from 1 species